CUCAAGUUCGAAGCCCAGACAGGUCCUCCCCUCUGGACCUCAGUGUCUGCCUCCGCGCAGUGGAGACCUAACACCAACCUCAGGUCAGCUUGGAGUCAAGGGACAGAGUGGAGACAGCAAAGCUUCCUGAUCUGCCAACCCCGGGGGCAGGACAGUUUCCACAAAUGAGGGAAAACACGUGACCCCUGACCUUCAGCGUGGGACUUACUUCACUCAACACGAUGGUCUCCAGUUCCGUCCAGGUUCCUGCAGAUGACGUAACCUCGUCUUCUCUAUGGCUGAAUAAAACUCCGUGGUGCACACAGAA